UUCAAACUUAAACUGGCAUUGUAUCCUUGAUUUUUGCUGUUCUGUGGCUGUGAGGUUCUUAGAAUGACCAGCUACUACAUUCUUCAGCUCUCCAGCAUCUAACAACUGCUGUGGACUCUCCUGCCACCAAACUUCUUUUGCUGUCUUCUGCCACCAUGAACUGUUGUCUCUCUGCCAAGCCACCUUACCUUGGAGCCAGCUGGUUAUGGACUGACACCUCCACAAACUGAGCUAAAUAAACCUUCCCUCCCUUAAUUUUGAGACUUGGGUAUUUUGUUUCAGCAGCAAGAAAAGUAAUCAAGACAGAAGAUUUACUUGAUUUUGAGAUCAAAUACAUCCUGUUGAAAAUCUCAUUUAGAUGUUGGGACUGGGAGGACCCAACAAGAAACCAACAAGUUAGCCUUCCUGGUGAGCUGUGCAAGCAAUGCAGCUUCCAGGAAGAGAAAAGUCAGUGCCUCCUCAGAAUCUGCCAUGCUGUGACUGGGAAGAUCCAGCAAGAAGCCAGCCCUUCUGGAAAUGGGCAGAAUAUACCCCAAACAGCCUUUUGGAGUCCACAUGGACCAAGGCACAAUAAAAUAUUUCUGGUCUCAGUCCUCUAUGCUGCAACAUGAACCACAAAGAGAACCUGGAGACCAUGUGCUGCACAAGAUGAAACUACACAUGGAAUGACAAAGAUCUGUGAAUCAUCAUCACCUCACCAGGGAGUCAUUUGUGGAGGAAGGCUGGUGUGUUGGACUAACAAUCCUAGAAACAGGCUUUUAUUGUUUUAUGUGAUUUCACCAAUAAGCGGGAUUGGUGGGGAGAGCCUGGCCUGGGUGAUGCCACUGACUUAGACCCAGUAGGUGAGUCCAACACAGGUCCCAGCACCUGGAGGUGCACCCUAGCAGUGAAGCCUUUGGUAAGUUGACCUGGAGGAGCGGGCCCAGCAGAGGCUGCCCAGGUCUGUAUCUCCCUAUUACACUGCAGUGGAUGGGAACACCUAUCCGGCGCAAUUCAAACAAACUAUAACCAAAAAAAGAGAAAAAAAUUGGGCCUCCUACAUUUGCUUGUAUGGAAGAAACAAAAAGUAUGGGUAGAGGAAGGAACAAGAAAGAGUCCUCAGUCCCCAAUCCUGAGAACACCGAUCCAGGAAAGGGAAAUGCAAAGGAAGACAGAAAACAUGCAAUAUCAGACACGGCACCAAUAGACUUAAAGCAAUAUCUCCAGAGCCUCAUAGACAAGUUUAAAAAUGAAGUAUUUAACAAAAUAAAGCAAGAGAUAAGUAGAAUAGUUAGAGAAAUGCUAAGCACCACCCAAGAAAAAACAGAUGGUGGAAUGGAAGAACAGAAAAAAAGGGAAGAAUUGUUUGAUGGAGAAAAUAGAGAAAACAUAGAAUACAUGAAGCAGAUUCAAAGAGAUUACCAGGAAACUAAAAACUCUAUUGAAAGCUGGCAUAACAGCUUGAAAGAAACUAAGGAUAGAUUAUCUGAAUUGGAGGGCAGACUGGUAAUAUGGGAGCAUGAAAUGAAAAACUUCUUAAAAAUAACAAGAAAACAAACAGCAAUAAUACAAAGACUAAAAGAUGAUAAGAUGAUCUACAACCUAAGAAUUAAGAACAUAAAAGAAGAAGUAGGGACACAAACAAAUGGACUACAAAAGCUAUUCACAGAAAUAAUCCAAUAGAAUUUCCCUAAUUUAGCAAAAGGUAAAGAUACUCAGAUGUAUGAGGCAUACAGGACCCCAGCCACCUACAACCCAAACAGAACUACACCCAGGCAUAUAAUAAUCAAAAUUCCAGAAAUCCAAUAAAAGAACAGAAUACUAAAAGCCAUCAGAGACAAGAAACAGAUCACUUAAAAGGGAACACCCAUCGGAAUUACAGCAGACUUCUCGGCAUAAACCAUCAAAUCAUGAAGAGUGUGGGGGGAAAUAAUUCAAGCUUUGAAAGAUAACAACCUCCAGCCAAGAUUGAUAUAUCCUGCACAACUGUCCCUAGAAAUUGAUGGAAAAACAAGGUGCUUCCAGAAUAAAGAGGAACUAGGGGAAUUUGCAACCACCAAUUCAACUCUACAGAGAAUACUGCAGGAUUUUCUAAAAAAAAGGAAAAUACCAAGAUUUUAGAAACAGUGGCAGAGAGACCACAAUGAAUGGAGCAGAAAGCGAAAUGAAGAAGGCAAACUGACAACAAACGACAGAAAAAGAGCUCACCAGAAAUGAGGCAGAGAAAAAAGACAUCAUAAUAGCUAGUGCUGAUUUAGUAUCAUCUUGCUUUGAAGUCCCAUCAAGCUUUUAUUCCUCUGUCUCCAUCAGUCUUAACAGAUGUAUCUUAUUGGAUUUUAUUAUAUGUGAUAAUAUAAGCAAAAACUUUUAUAGACAAGGAGAUUAUACAGAAACCAUUGUUCAUUUUCUGAUAGUUGGUUCUAAAUACCCUGUAAUACUGUCAUUCUCUUGAAUGGUUUUACAUUGUCUUGAUGUUUGGUGCUACAGUAUACGAAGUUAUACUCAGACUUUAAGGAAAGAGAUAUUAUGGUGAUUACUUUUAUGUUGGGAUGUCUUGUGGGGAAACACUAUUUUGCUUAAGUGGUUAUACUUUGACCUGCGCUGUUUUGUUGUUAUGCCCUCUUUUAUCUCAGUCUCCUUUUUUAAAUUAUUUACUUUUUUAUUUUUUUUCUUUUUAAUUAAUGGAAAAAUUAAAAAAGCAAGAUAUAUUAUUAUGGUAACCCACUUUGGUUUACUAUUAACUUGAUUUGAAACCCUGUAUAGCCCUCAUCAUCUUGCUUUGACUGAUUUUCCUCUAUUCUGCUUUGCUUGAUAGUACCAAGUUCAAAAGUAUAGGCAACAACUGUAAAGACAGUAAGAUUCAUUAUGAUGCCCAUUCCGGUUGACUAUUAUCUUCUUUUAAAGCCCUGUAAUGUCCCCAAUGUUUUGGUUUUAUUCUUUACUGUUUUGUUCAAUUUUAUUACCAACUGGUGAUAUAGGCAAUUCUUUUUAAGAUAGCAAGAGGUAGUAUGGUAACCAUUGUUGAUCAUCUAGUAUUUUGUUUUUACGUUAUCUAUUAUGUUCAUCCUUUUGAUUUGACUGACUCUGUUCUGUUAUGUCAUAUUUGGUUUUACUCUCUUCUAAAAAAAGUAAUAAGAACUGUGGGAGUAAUAAAACCCAAAAUUUGUAAUUGUCAUUGUACAAAAGAAAGGAAAAGAAAGUGCUCUAAAGAAUAUAACUGCAUAUAUAUUUAAGUGUAUAAGAUAGAUAACCAUAUUGCUGAGUUUUGCUGGAUCAUUGAAGAGAACUGUUUCCAGUCUCACUGUUUGAAAGUCCACUUUAUAUGCUUUAAUUUUGUAACUUGAACAACUAUUUCUAAGAUAACAAUAUGUAAUCUAUUAACUAGUGAUUUCCUAUUGUUUAUUUUUUCUGAAAUUCUGUAUAACUUGUACCCUAUUUCUGCUUUUUUUCUUUUUCUCCUUAAUAAA